AAUCUAGUGGGUAGACUGGCCUUUGGAAACUUUGACCUGGGUCAUCCAUCAGGGCUCAGUUAAGACUUUUCUAAAGGGAUUGGUCUAUUGUGUUACAGGGGAUAUGGAACCAAGGAAGGGGGAAGGACACCCAAGGGAGUGGUGGGGCAGCAUUCUUAGGAAUGGGAUCUGUUGGUGGAAGGGGGAUAUGAUAGGCAGAGAUGAGUAGGGUUGAGGGACACAGAAGAUGAAGGUGAGAGCAUACCCCUUACCACUGAAUUCAGGAAACUCGGGAGCAAUGUGAGGUAUGACGUGAAUAAUGACGGAAAAGGUGACUGCAGAAACAAGGCUUUGAGGAGAAAGGAUGGGGUGGGGGCAGGCAGGAAGUCUGAGGAAGCUACACGGCAAUUCAGGAAAGGCUGCUGCGGAGGGUCAGCCCUGGGGAUUUCCAGUGUGCAUGGCAGGAGGGACUUCCGAGCCAGGGUAAGUGGUUCCUGCCUGAAUACACGGAGAUGGGGUCCUGGCUGGGUGCUUUCUUGUUUCAAUAGGAAAGUUGUGACUGUCACCGGGAGACAGAAUAAGUGAGGUGGCACAGGUGCAGUAUUGGCCACCUUGGACACUUCACUCUGAGAGCGCAGGAAUAGUUUGAGUUAAUUUAAAGAAAAGCAAAAUAAGAGAAUGCGACUCAGAAUGAUCUAUUAACAGGAAAGAAAUUUGAUGCUGAUGGAUGUUUGCCAUGGUUUCGUUAGAUGUUUUUACAGAAGUGGAGGAAAAAAUACCAAAGCCAAAUUGUACCUAGGCCUUUGAUUCUGCACAGAGGCCUAGGGGUGAAGCCCUGAAGGUAUUGGCCAUGCCAGAUGGGUGUUCCCCAAAUGGGGCAAAAAGCAAGGACUCAGGUGUGGGCAAAAGCAGUCCCCUGACACAAUGGAGUCUUCAUGGGGAUGGGCAAAGCUCAGCCGCAGGCUGUAGAGAAGACACAAAGGAGCUGGGAAUAUUUCUAGAGAGAGGAAGAAGACUCAUGACAUUCUACUCCAAACUCUGUGCUGGUCCACUGGACCGCGCAGCCCCUCUUUGACCUCUUGGCAGGGCAUGUGGGAACCUCUGGGUGUCUGUGUGCCCUGCCCAGGCCAUGAGGAAUUGGGGAUGCCACAGCAGGCCCUUCAGCAUGAGCCCACCAAUAGCCUCAGUCCCAAAAUGCACUGGGUGUGGCACUGAACCGAAUGGGGACUUCCCUAGAGACUUAGAGCCACCCACAGCCAUGCUGCUAGAAGGAGGCCACUAACCCUGAUAACCUCCAGGUUGCUUUUACCAAACUGAAUGCUUCACAGCUCCCCCAUCCCAAACACCCUUUGGGGUUUGGUCCUGAGGUAACACUGGUUACCUCCUCCUUUCUUUCCUUCUAACAGAACCCCGAUUUUAUUGAGGUAUUUCCCCACUGUUUAACACAGCCCAUGUACCUGGAAAAAUCUGACCUUACUCCCAGCCCCAGGAGUGGCUGGGUAUAAGAAAAGUCUUAUUUUCCUUGUCUUUUUGUUCAGGAAUGGCCAUGUGACCUAAUUCCAGCCAGAGACACAUGAGGGGAAAUCAUCUGAGUAAUUUUGGAGAAACUUGCCUCUCCUCCAAGAAAGAUCUGCAGAAAGGCAUAUUCUCCCUCCUUCCUCUGCAGCAUUGCCACGUCUGGUAUAUUUCCAGAACUUCUGUAGCCAUCUUGCUACCGGCAUGAGGAUGAAGCCAACAUUAAAAGUGGGAGAAAGGAAAGAUAGUAAGAGGAUGAGUCUUCUAAGAUAUUGCUGAGCAAUUGAAUCAACUAACUCUGAAGUCCACUCCACCCCUGGAUUUUCAAUUUACCUGAAAUAAUACACUUCUUUGUUGUUUAAAUCAAGCCAGAGUUUCUUCUACUUGUAGCUAAAAGUGUUCUAAUUGUUAAAAUUCCCAACAGGAAGGCAAAGCAUCUGAACAGAUCUUUUUCAUUCAUUUCCCCAAACCCUCAAAGAAUAGAAGAGUGGUUUCCACUUGCUAUUUCAGUCUCUUAGGGGUUCCUCCUAUCAUACCCUCCUCCCUCCUGAAUUGGAGUUUGUUCCUCUUUGUAUCUCCAGUACGUGCACCAUGGUUAGGCCUUCUGUUUAGUUGAUGUAAAUCCGAAAGGAAGAAGUUGUUUGAUGCUGCGUAAUACAGGAAAGGGAAGCAGAGGGAAGGAAAGAUUGUGGAUGACAACUCUACACAAUCAAAGAUGAGAAUUGUGCACAACUCAAGAUGCUGAAUGUGAGGGAGAGCCAUGGCACACAUUCCACAGUGAAAAUCCAAGGCACCUUUCAAACCUAAUGUCUCAAAAUCCAAGGCACCUUUCAAACCUAAUGUCCCAGUGUUUUUUGGGAUUCUUCCUAUGAAGCUAUGCUGUCCUAUACGGUAGCCACCAGCAAUUAGCCACUUGUCCCAGCCACUAGCCAUAGAUGGCUAUUUACAUUUGAAAUUAAAAUUAAAUAAAACUUAAAAUUUAGUUCUGCAGUCACACUAGCCAUACUUCAAUUCUCAGGAGCCACAGGUAGCUACCAUAUUGGACAGGAUAGAUAAAGAACAUUUCUAUUGCUGCAUGAAGUUUAUUGGGCAGCACUGUUACAGAGGCACCUCUUUAUUCAAAGAGAAAUGAUAACUAGAGAACCAAUCCCAGGCUUAGGAAUCAUAAGAGAUGAAUGUAUAGUGGCAAGGACACAAUUUCAUAGUGAGUCCUGGGUUUGAGUCCUGGCUUUUCCACUUAUGUAAAUUCUACGAACCUUAGUUUCUUUAUAAAGUGAGGAAAAUAAAUUGUAUUUAUUUUGGAGGAGUAUUCUGAGGACUACAGUGAUAUAUAUGAAAUACUUAAGGAAGAUUCUUAUCACAUUGUAGAUGCUCAAUGGCAUUAAGUGCUAUCCCUGGUUUCCUGCCUUGGGGAUGAGUUAUGCAAAAUUUUGCUUUGUCCAUACAAUCUUCCAUACCUAUGAUAGUCUACGUGUGGUUCAGACUUGUAACUUCAGCAUCACCUGGGAAUUAGAAAAGCAGGAUCUCAGACUCCACCCCAAAGCUAUUAAAGCAGAAUUUACAUUUUAACAAGACCCCAGGUGAUUUGUAUGCACAUUACAGGUUGAGGAGCACUUAUUUAUUCAACAUGAUGAUCAAAAAUUCAAAAUAAGUAAACUAUGUGACCUACCAAAAAUGAUUUUGAUAGUGGACUAUGGAAUUCUAACCAUAUCUGAGAUGCCUCAGUUUGAAGACAGUGGCUGAGCCUGGCAAUGAUGGGACCUGGGUCAAGAAGGAGCACCAGGACGGAGACCUCUUCCGUCAUUCCAGCAAGAUAACUCCACAAGAAGCAGAAGCUCUCGCCUCCCUGGAUGGGGGAAUCUGGUGCAUCCCCAAAUCCUCCCAGGAGGCUCAGAAUGGCUUGCAACAGAAAAUGGAUCUUCAGCAGCUGCCCACAAACAAGGUCACCGACAACAGCAACCAGCUCUCUUCAUCAGCCCCUGCCAACCCCACAAAAAGUACAUAUUCUCCUUCAGAAGGAUCCAUGAGGCCGCCAUUCAAUGGCUGACAGAAAUGGAAAAUCGAUUCCAGAUUCAUCUCUGCUGGGAAUUAAGUAUAUUCCUUGGAAAUAAUGAGUUAUGAGGUCAUUGAGGGCUUGUUCUUUUCCUGCUUGCAGAGACAUUUUAAUUUUAGAAGGAAGAGUGACUAAUGAACAGGACAUUCUAAUUCUGGUGAUGUGCUUUUUCCCAUUUUAAUGUCAGCUGAACCACAAAAAUGUUGAUAUUUCUCUCUUCAUUACUCCUCAUGGUUCAGGAAGAACAUUGUCGCCAAAGGGAAAAAAAACUGGGUAACUCCUGAUCCCUCCACCCAGUUUCAAAAGACAAAAUAAGGUGCAGCUCUGGUGUCAGCCAGCCUGUUUUCACUGCUCUUAGUGGGGUCAUUCUAUACACCAGCAGUGUCCCCACAAAACGACAUUUUCCACACUUUGUCGAUAGUAGUGAGAUACAAGGAAGACAAUGUCAUUCAGAACCCAGGACGUUCAACAAGGUGGACAGAAGUUUGAAAUGCAAAAAUAAGAAAUUCCCUUAGCAAGUCUCUCACCAAGCAGACUCACAGCUCAUUCCCUCCCCCAAGUUUAUAAGUACCAUCUAUUGAGUGCCAGCUGUAAUUCUGAUGUUGUUAAAAUCCUGUUUACAGGCAUUUUCUCAUUUAAUACUUGUAACAGCCCUGUGAUGUCACACAAUUAGUAAAUUGCAGAGCUGACAUUAGAAAUCAGGUAACAUAGUCUGUUUUCUUAAACCUUGUGCUCAAAUUCAGUGGCUCUCAAACUGAAGCCUGCAUCAGAAUCACCUAGGGGGCUUGUCAAAACAAGGAUUGCUGGGUCCCACCCCAGAAUUUCUGAUUCUGUAGAUCAGGGGCUCAAACUCUGAGAACCAUUGCUCUCAUGCCUCAGUAUGAUCACCCACAAUCACACUCUUAAAAGGCUACUUAUUCAGGGAAGAACUUCAAAUACAGAACACUAUUCUGACUCCUCCCUUCCCUACUUCCUAAAAGAGAAUCUGAGAACACUGACUGAUGUGCCCAAGGCCAGGUAGGAAAACAGAAAAAAUGGAGAGUUAGAGGUCUGUAUUUCUCGUGUAACAAUGUCCCAGUUUAGAUAAAACUUCUUUACGGUGGCUCAGGACAUCCAGGACACACAUCCUUAAUUGAGGCUCUCUACUUUAAAGUGAAUGCCUCCUUCAUGUGGGCAGGACUUGAUCUUACUGUGGUGGUUCUCUCCACCAUCACAGUCCUAGGGCAGGUUCUCAGAAUUUAGAAUACUUUGCAUUUCUGUGUCUCUUGAGAAACGCUGGCCCCACCGUUUCAACCCUACAGUGAACUUAGCCACCAAAACAGCUACGACCUCACUACCUGAGUUUGAGUUUUUCUUUCUCUGUGAGGGUGUGUCUCUCUCUGUCUUUCUCUGUCUCUCCCUGUCUUAUGUUAUUGCUCACAAUUUUCUUAUGGAUUAGCUAACCAUUGGUUGAUUCAAUAGUAAAGCUGAUGCAGUGCAAUGAAAUGAAAUAUAGUCAUGUGUCACUUAAUGAUAGGGAUACAUUCGGAGAAAUGCCUCAUUGGGUGAUUUUGUCAUCAUGUGAACAUCACAGAGUGAAUCUACAUAAACCUAACCUACUACACACCCAGGCUAUAUGGUAUAGCCUGUUGCUACUGGGCUACAUACCUGUAUAACAUGUUACUGUACAGAAUACUAUAGGCAAUUGUAACACAAUGGUAAGUAUUUGUGGGUCUGACAUGGUUUGGCUCUGUGUCCCCACCCUAAUCUCAUCUUGAAUUGGACUUCCAUAAUUCCCACAUGUUGUGGGAGGGACACAUGGGAGGUAAUUUGAAUCAUAGGGGCAGUUUUCCCCAUACUGUUCUCGUGAUAGUGAAUAAGUCUCAAGAGAUUUGAUGGGUUUAUCAGGGGUUUCCGCCUUUGCACCCUUCUCAUUUUUCUCUUGCUGCUGCCAUGUAAGAAAUGGCUUUUGCCUCCC
rnacentral:lncRNA from 10 species